GUGGAGGAUGACGGCCCUAGGGUUGUAAACUCCUUUUAUACACGAACAAGGUUCUGAUUGUAGUGUAUGAAUAAGUACCUGCUAAUCACGUGCCAGAAGCAUCGGUAAUACGUGAGAGUACGAGCGUUAUCCGGAUUUACUGGGCGUAAAGAGAGGCGUAUGCGUCUUCCACAACGUCGNUAGUGAAAUCUUCCGGCUACAACCGGAAACAGGCAAGCGAUAACUGGGUUGAUUGAGGAAUGUAGGGGAGAGCGGAAUUCCUGGUGGAGCGGUUACAUGCGUACAUAUCAGGAGGAACACCGAUGGCGAAGGCAGCUCUCUGGACAUUUCCUGACGCUAAGGCUCGAAAGCGUGGGUAGCAAAGCAGAUUAUAUACCCGUGUAGUCCACGCCGUAAACGAUCCCUGAUAAGUGUUUGUCUCAUGCUUAUAUUUCCUUCGGGAUUUGUAGGUUGUGGGAUGAGUGCCACAGCUAACGCACUAAGCAGGGCGCCUGGGGAGUACGGUCGCAAGAUUGAAACUCAAAGGAAUUGACGGGGACCCGCACAAGCAGUGGAGCGCCUGGUUUAAUUCGAUGAUCCGCGAAAAAUCUCACCUGGGUUUGAACUGUAGCUGCAGUCCUGAUGAAAGUCGGGAUGCCUUCGAGGGUGCUACAGAGGUGAUGCAUGGUUGUCGUCAGCUCGUGUCGUGAGAUGUAGGGUUAAGUCCCACAACGAGCGCAACCCCUACCCAGUGUUAUAUAUUUUUCUGGGAACUGCCUUGCCAAAACGAGGAGGAAGGAGGGGAUGACGUCCAAUCAGCAUGUCCCUUAUGUCCAGGGCUACACAGACGCUACAAUGGCCAGUACAACGGGCAGCCAAACCGCGAGGUGGAGCUAAUCCCAGCAAAACUGGUCCCAGUUCGGAUUGU
rnacentral:rRNA from 1 species